rnacentral:lncRNA from 1 species
GUCACUUGGUUCCUAUUAAUACUACCUCUAGAAACUCUGAGUCAGCAUAAAAUAUGUCCAUUCAGGAAAGAGGUAAGUUUGCUUUCAUUAUUCCCUGCCCGAAGUGAAAGGAGCAGAUUCAUGAGAGCCUGGGAGGUGUUUGAAAGAAACGAAGGCCAGAGUCCACCAUUCUGCUCCCGCGCUGUGGGGUCCUCUCCAGCCACAGGGCUCUCAGCAGGAGGAAGCGGAUGGGACCUCUCCCAUGACCUGAGGGCCUUGGCCGGGAGGAAGCCUGCCCUGGCGAGGUGAAGCCCAGCAUAAAACACGGCCGCUUUUCCCUCCCAGUUCUGCCGAAUGCCCAGCCAGGCCCUGAUGGAACAUGCGCGCUCGUCCGCCAAUCAGCAGAAGCCUGAGCGUGGAGCCUUCUCCCAUUGGGUGGUCCAGAUAGGACGGGUAGCGGGAGAGGACAGAGUUUGUGGCGAGCACGUCCACCUGUCUCGCGUGUUCUCUGAUUCUCGAAUCCCCCACCAAGGAGAGCCUGCCUAGACUUCACCAAUGCCUGGCUUCAGAGAAGGGCUUCCAGAAUUGACAUGUGCGAAGCGUCCCUCUCCUUGGGAGACACGGUGAUCCGAGAGCUGCUUGGACCUGGAGCUUUGUCUCAGGCCGCUGAGGGGUGGGUUGAAGAUGUCUGGGCCGAGAAGGAGGAGGAGGAGAGUCCGCCGGUUCCCUUAGAAUCUCCCCAGGUUCUCAGGGUGCAGCGGCUCCCAGAGGACAGAAGUGGAUCCUGGGGACCUUUAUGGAGGAGAGUGUUCCAGGCAGAGCUUGGCCUGAAGGAACUUUGCCUGACUGGCAAGAGACUUAUAAACUCCAAAAUAUGCAAGUCAUCCUCCAUCUUGUUUUCCAUUUCCUUUGAGGCCGUUCCUUGGGCAUUGAGGCUUGAAUCCUGCUAUCAGAACUUUGGUGUUCUCUGGACACGUAACGUCCCCAGCGGGGCCCUAGGCACAGGCCGCCAUGUGGCUCGGGCAUCCAGAAGAGGAGCAAGGCCUUACUGAGAUGGGUGUUCUAUCGCCAUCACUAAGGGUUUGACCCUUUCUGAAAUCUCAGUGAGAUGCUGGCUCCUGGCAGUCUCCAACCCAGGCAGUGGUUGCUGAAGCUUUAAUGAGGAGCCGACAGAUGAAUCCCCUUUGCCCUGUGCUCCCUCCAGCAAGCCCGCUGCUUCCCCACACUGCCUUCCCUGAGCGGCGCUGUAAGUUUUCCCCCUAAUCUCAACCUCAAUUCCUUUUUCCCCUUUUCCUCAAUGUUAAAGUCACGACCU